UCAUUCUAUAGUAUAACCUUUACUUACUACCUCCCUGGAUCACUAAUGUCGUUUCAUUGCAUAUUCCAUUGUGUUUGUCAUAUAAUUGUAUUCCAUAUUACAUCUAAGGAUCGCAUAUGGCAUUUUAUAAUCUCAGAUGUCAUGUCAUUUUAUGUGUUGUGUCUGUGGACGCAGGAUUGUAUCAAUGUGCAAGACUGUGUAUGUGAAUGAAG